AUCAGGGGAACAAAGGCUAAGUACUCGGGCAUCGUGUGCGGGCGCCUUUCGUAACCCGCGUCCUGCAGG
rnacentral:sRNA from 1 species